GACGAACGCUGGCGGCGUGCCUAAUACAUGCAAGUCGAGCGGACUUUCAAGAAGCUUGCUUUUUGAAAGUUAGCGGCGGACGGGUGAGUAACACGUGGGCAACCUGCCUGCAAGACGGGGAUAACUCCGGGAAACCGGGGCUAAUACCGGAUAAUAUCUUCCUUCGCAUGAAGGAAGGUUGAAAGGCGGCGCAAGCUGCCGCUUGCAGAUGGGCCCGCGGCGCAUUAGCUAGUUGGUGAGGUAACGGCUCACCAAGGCGACGAUGCGUAGCCGACCUGAGAGGGUGAUCGGCCACACUGGGACUGGGACACGGCCCAGACUCCUACGGGGGGCAGCAGUAGGGGAUCUUCCGCAAUGGACGAAAGUCUGACGGAGCAACGCCGCGUGAGCGGAGAAGGUCUUCGGAUCGUAAAGCUCUGUUGUCAGGGAAGAACAAGUACCGUUCGAACAGGGCGGUACCUUGACGGUACCUGACCAGAAAGCCACGGCUAACUACGUG
rnacentral:rRNA from 1 species